CAAGCUUCCACAGGCAAGUGCACAUCCUGCUGAAAGUGAGGAAGAAAAUGAUCUGUCCACACCCACUGCCUGGAGAAAGAAUGAUCGCUUGCUAGAAUCUGGAUGACUUCAGGCCUAGCCAAACGCCAGCUAUGCUAAGGGAAGCUGAGGUUCUUGUCCUGGAGAAUUGCAGAAUGGACGCAGAGAUCCAUGACCGCGCGCCGCGGGGAGGAGGACGGCGCCGGGAGCCGGUGCGCGCCGCACUGCAGCCUCGCGGGGGCCGGGGACUCCUGCAGCCCCGGGUCCGCGCGGGGCGGGCACGCGGAGGAUCCACGCGGGCGAGCUGCGGCCUGCAGCUCCCAGCCGCGCUCCCCGGGGGCGCCCGCUCAGGACGCGCCCCCGCCCAUGCCGUACCUCGGUGGAAUCCUUAGCCUUUAGAGGGAGGGCUAAAACAACAACAGACAAACGGCAGACAAACGGAAAACAAAUUCGAAAGGGCCCGGGGACCCUCCCGCAGAAGCAGGGCGCACACCGGCCAGCUCUAACUCUAGACUUGACUGCAUGUUGACAAGGGUUUCCAACCCCGCUUCCCCGAGGUACUGCGUGACUCAGUCCCUGCUCAGAUGGUGGUUGCUGUAAAUAGCUGCAAUUUCCCUCCUUCCGUCCCAAAGCACGGAUGGGAAGGGAUUUGCAGCAGGGACUCUGCAUUAUACUCAAGGUCUUGGUAAGAUGGACAUGCGCUUCAUCAGCUCCCGACUUCUUGACUUCUCGGCAUUCCCAGGUCCGAUUGCCCCAGUGGUGGAAGUCACCUCCCAUAUAUGAUGAAAUAAAUGUCCACACCUAGCAUUUGUGAUAACGUUGUUACAUUGUUUUCGGUUUUUGAAAGAUGCCGCAGAAAGAGGCAAAACCUGGUACAGCACAACAGCGUGCCCCCUCGCCCCCAAAUAGGAGAUCAAAUCUCAAUUCUAAGGGAAAAAAGAGGAAUUCUCGUCUUAGAUAUGUAUGUAACAUAUUUUAUAGUAUGUAUUUUUAUUUAAACAAUUUUGCUUUUCUGUAUUUUACAAACUUUCUUUAUUAAGGAUUUUUAUUUCGUGCUAUUUAUGUAAUACAAACUCUGAAGGCCCAAAGAAAUUUAAUAUUAGCUUAAAUGUACAUUGGAUAUAUUUAUAGAGUCAAUUUGUUAGCUGCUAUAAUUGUUUGACAUAAAAGGCUUUUGAACUAAAAA